rnacentral:rRNA from 1 species
GUAAUAUAUCGGAACGUACCUUUGAGUGGGGGAUACUAGUCGAAAGACUAGCUAAUACCGCAUACGAUCUACGGAUGAAAGUGGGGGAUCGCAAGACCUCAUGCUCAUAGAGCGGCCGAUAUCUGAUUAGCUAGUUGGUGAGGUAAAGGCUCACCAAGGCUUCGAUCAGUAGCUGGUCUGAGAGGACGACCAGCCACACUGGGACUGAGACACGGCCCAGACUCCUACGGGAGGCAGCAGUGGGGAAUUUUGGACAAUGGGGGCAACCCUGAUCCAGCAAUGCCGCGUGAGUGAAGAAGGCCUUCGGGUUGUAAAGCUCUUUUGUUCCAGGGAAAGAAACGGGAUGCCCUAAUACGAUGUCCUAAUGACGGUACCUGAAGAAUAAGCACCGGCUAACUACGUGCCAGCAGCCGCGGUAAUACGUAGGGUGCAAGCGUUAAUCGGAAUUACUGGGCGUAAAGCGUGCGCAGGCGGUUAUGUAAGACAGGUGUGAAAUCCCCGGGCUUAACCUGGGAAUGGAUUUGUGACUGCAUAGCUAGGAGUGUGUCAGAGGG